rnacentral:rRNA from 1 species
UACGUAGGGUACAAGCGUUGUCCGGAAUUAUUGGGCGUAAAGAGCUCGUAGGCGGUCUGUCGCGUCUGCUGUGAAAACUCAGGGCUUAACCCUGAGCUUGCAGUGGGUACGGGCAGACUAGAGUGCGGUAGGGGAGACUGGAAUUCCUGGUGUAGCGGUGAAAUGCGCAGAUAUCAGGAGGAACACCGGUGGCGAAGGCGGGUCUCUGGGCCGUAACUGACGCUGGAGGAAGCGGAAAGCUAGGGGAGCGAACGG